ensembl:lncRNA
UUCCCACGCGGGGCCGCUCACCGCGCAAACCCCCGGCAGAAAUCUCAUCGUGGCGAACGCUGCCCGGCGCUCGUUGGUGAAGGUCCCUCUUUCACCAAAUGGCACAAUUCAGCGCUCGUGGGAGCGCUUUUGCGUAGGUCCCAGAAACGCAAGCAGCGUUGGGAAAGUUCCCCGGCUCACGGCGCGGACAUGGCACGGGGAAGCGGGGCUGCGGCCGCCCCACGGAGCCGCUGGGUGUCCGCCGGCCUCAGCAGCACCGCCCGCACUGAGCAGGGAGGGACGCCGAGUACAGCCCCCGCUGAUGCUCCUGACGCCGACCUCCGCAGUGAGAGGACCUUGUUUUAAGACUUCCUUGUUUAUAACCUUUCAUGUAUAAAUAGAACAUAUGGUUCCUGUUUAAGGAAGCCGUUGAGCGGGCAGAACAAGGAUUAAUGUUACCGCCCGUCAAAGGGAGCUCCCUUGUUGCCUGGCUGUAGGAGCUACUGCCGCUUCCCACCUCGGUUUGCUCAACUCCACGCGCAGCGCAAACAACGCACAGCCGUGCUAUGGCACUGUGCACGCCCCACCUAAGCAUGACGCUGAGCCCCGUUCCUCCCCAGAGCAGUGCUGCCAAGAAGCAAUGGGAGGGAAAUGGCACGGCCUGCUCUGCUCCCACGGGAAGCUGCCACCGGCUGGAAGGUGCACGACUGCGAGGGCUGGGGCUGCUGUUCUCAUGGUUUUGGGAUGCUGCUCAGCCCAUGCAGAGAUGGAGGGAGAAGCUUGCAGCUCUCCCUCGUGUUUGCACAAGUGCUGACACGGCCAUGGGGAGGUCAGCGGGACUUGGAGCUGCAGUGUUUGCUAAGGGGAUCCGCUCCCUACCCACAUCCCUCGCUGCCCGCGGCGCCCUGCAGAGACGUUGACGAGAUCCUGUUCCAUUUGCAGCACUGCCAGCAGCCCAAUGGUUUCCUCCCAGCUGCCGAAUCCUUCGUUUCCCUAUGAAAAGAAAUGUAAAACAGGGGGGCUUCGCUGCAACCUCAGGAAGGAGAGCCUCCUGCUCGCGGGGUGGCCGAAGGAGCAGUGCUGGUCGCUGUUCUCAACCACCACUGGGUCGGGAAGGCACAGUACUGGCAGAAAUGCUGCAGCACUGCCCUUUCCCACGCCACAUUGCACUCCUGGGGUGUGGAGGAUGGGACAACAAGAGUUAAAGCCAUGUCCCAGCCCUGCCACCGGGUGUUCCCAGAGUGAGUCACACUGAUCCCAUGGCCGCAGGGUCCUCACGCUCCCAGAGGUCCCAACACUGCCUUCCCCUCAUGGCACCAGGACCUGCUCCUGCCCACGGGCUGCAGGGGUGGGCUGAGCUCAGGGCAGAGCUUGGCCAACCCAGCUAGGUUACCACCUGGCCCAGCCCCAGAGUCCCAACGGAAACCCAUCACCCAGGGUUUGCUCUUUCCUAAGCCCUGGAGCAGCACUGAGCUCUGCAUUCCCUCACAGAGGGACUCACCAGGACACGGACAGGAGGAGUGGCAGUGGCAGUGAUCGGUGUGCUCAUGACUGCAGUCACUCCCCUUCCCAAUUUCCCCACUGGUGCUGUGUCUGCGGAGCAUUGCCCUGCCACUGCCCUACCACCUCACAGAGUGUUCCCAGGAUGGGUCCGUGAGAGGAGUUCCUGCUGACCCCCAGGGAAGUGCAUGCCCUUUGGGCAGCCUGCAACACAGCCUACAGCACACACAAACCACUUUUUCCAAGCCAGUGUCUCAGCCAAAACCAGCUUGGACAAAGUUUUUUUUUUUCACGGAUGGGUGUGAGAGAGAACAGGCAGCUCUCUCUGCUCCAUGGCGUCACUCUGCUGUGGUGCUGGCCCAGGGUGGAGAAAUCUCAUCUGCAGCUGCUGUGCUGCAUCUUCCAGCCCUGCUCACAGCCCUGCUCACAGCACGUGGUGAGCAGUGCAGGACAGGAGCAAGUGGUUUUCCCCAUGCUGAAGCCGCAGUGCAGCCACCUCUGCACUGGGUGACGCACAGCAUCACUGAGCCCGCAUGCUGGGAGCAUUGUUCCCAAACAUGGCUGGAGAGAGAGCAGCUCCUUAUCUGGAAAAGGCAGCCAACAGCACCCUGGGCUCUCCAGCGUGCAUCGGGGCCUUGCGUGGGAACAAGGGAGCCCUUGAUGCGCAGUGGGCCGUGGGGGAGCCCAUCUGCAGAGCUGAGCUCACCCUGGGGCAGCUGUAGCUCAGUGUGAACAAUCGGCCCUGUGUGGGGUGUGAGCUCCACGGCUCCCCCGGCCAUACUGCAGCACUUGAGGGCAGAGCUGCCCGCCUGG